CUCUGUGACAUUUCUCACGCGGAUUUACUGGAACGAGGCCUGGGAAGUCAGCUGCUCCGGCCCUGCUGCACUGUCAUCUCCAUCCCACCGGGCUGCCCGGAGUCUUGAGGACGCCACUGGCCGAGCUUUGCCCCUCAGACGCCCCGCCAAGCCCCCAGCCCCAGCGACUCAGGCCACUGGAUUCUCCCCUGGACCAGGCAACAUUCUCAUCGCCCAGAAGGAGACCCCAUACCUGUUAAGCAGCUGCUCCCCACUCCCUGCCGGGCGCCCCACACUUUGGACCUGCGUCACCCACGGCGAUGUUAUGACCUGCCCCCCGUCCUCCCCACCGCACGCCGCAGACGAGCGCUCUGUGCAGCGGGGACCAGAGCGGAUGGCUCACCUGCAGCCACAAAGAGGAUGCCGGCGCUGAGGACGAUGUUGUUCUUGCGGCUGUGGAGUCUCCCGGCGCCAAGGCAGAGCCCGCCGAGCAGCAGGAGGGCGGCGCUGAGGAUGGGGAAGGCGCUGGAGGCGCGCACGAGGCCUGGCCGGCGGGAGACACAGAGAGGGCCGUGGGGCUGGCCAUCCUCCCGGCCCGGCCACGGGCGUCGGCCCCGAGGCUCUCAAGGCCCUUCCGCUGACUUUGAAGAUUCCCAUCCCGCCCUGGAGACCCCAGGCUCUCCCUGGAUGUGGGCCCCAUUUCUGCCAGCGGGGAUCCCCUCAGCGCCACCAGGGAGGCCACAGCAACAGGCACGAGAACACUGUCAGACGGCCUGUCACAGCUCGUGGACAUCGUCUCCGUGAAGCCUCCGGGAUGCUGGAGAGUGGAUCCGGAUGGGCGGCCGAGGGCACGGGCUUUGCCUUCGGCGGGCCCGGGUACCCUGCUUUGUGGCACGCUGGCUGUGUGGCCUUGACCAAGGUGGGGCCUCCCUGACACUGGGUUUCCCUAGUGUGGGAUGCAGUUCGUAACAGGCCUACGUGCAGGUGGGUUCUGCACAUCUAAUGGCUUAUUUAGCAAAGGCCCUGCCCAUAGCACACACUCCUCAAGUGACAGCCUUGAUCUCCCAUCUCCGUCAACACCAGCGUCAUCACCCCGGGAAGCUCCGGACCUCGUGAGGUCACCGAGGAGGGGGUGGCUGGACAGGGGAGCAUGUCCAUGGCCUGCGGGGCCCCACGGAGCUAGAUCUGCAGCUGUGCACUGCCCAGCGGGGCGACCAGGGCAGCUAGCUUCAGACCACUUCACUCCCCUCUUUUACAACCUGGGGAGAGUAGUAAUACCUACCUGUAGGGGUUGAAUUGUGGCCUCCCAAAAUCUAUGUCCACAUUCUAACUGCUGGUACCUAUGAGUGUGACCAGGUUUGGAGAAAAGUCUUUGCAGCUGUGAGUAAGUUAAGGCUCUUGAGAUGACACCGUCCUAGAUCACGCUGGGCCCCAAGUCGGGUGACAGGCGCCCUAACAUGAACAGGAAGCGACACAGCAGAAGAGCCCAUGGGGAGAAGCCAUGUGAGGACGGAGGCGGACGAAAGGAUGACACAGCUCAAGACAAGGAUGUCGGGGCUGCCAGAGCCGGAAAAGGCGGGAAGGAUUCUCUGCUAGAGGCUUUGGAGGAGCACAGCCCUGGCAACGCCUGAGUGAAGACGUCUGGCCUCCACUCCGUGUGAGGGUGCCUUUCUGCUGUUCUAAGCCCCCCAGUUUGUGGUAAUUUAUUACAGUGGCCUUAGGAAAGGGACACACCACCUGCAAGUGCUGUGAUGAGACUCUGACGGAAUAAGGCACAUCGGGCGCGUAGCAGGGCCCUGGGGGAGGCGGGUCCCCCUCCCUGAGCAUCUGGCUGGGAGAGGAGGCGGGAGGAAGGGAAGGGGGACGUGAGCAGAACCCCGAGCUCGGCCUCCCAGCCCAGGAGAAAUCCCGGCUCCGUGGACCUGGGGGCCGCCAGGGGACAGUGAGCUGGGGGCACCGGCAGGCCCCCCUCCUGAGCCAGCUGAGCUCGUUUGCGGCCUUUCAGCCUCUGAAGGCAGCGUUUGUCUCCCUGCUUGUAAGCCCGCCAGUGUGUGCCCUGCUGCACAGAGAGCGGCUUGUCUGGGGCAGUAAAUGAAGCUCUUCUCUCCGCCUCCCCCUCCUUCUCCCUCUGCCUUCUCACAGCCGCAGGUUUCGGGCGGAGGUUUCCUGUGGGCUUUUGAAAUGCGCCUCUGAUCCGUGCGGGCCGGCAAAGGGGGACCGGGUCCCCCUCGAUACCCUCGUUCUGCAGGUGGGUCAGAGGGGUUGCAGCGAGGGAAGCCUGGAGCCUCUAACGUCUCCGAGUUCGGGCCUGGCCCAGAGCCAUCCAUCCCGCCCGCGUAAGUCACGUGAGCACCGUCCUUUGCCACGUGGGCUCACCCGGAGCUCUAGACGUGCGGGCACCAACCGCGGUGCAGGCUGGGUCUUGCACAGAGCGGGGCCGAUGUCCAGCCCACGGCCCUGUGGCUACAUGAGCCCUGGUAAGGAUCUGUGUUUUUGCCCAGAGGGCGGGCAUCUCCUCCUCACUCGCCCUCAGGCUCGCCGUGGGCUCUCAGCAGCCCUGACACCAGCACUCUGGGGUUAGCACAGAAACCACGCGCCCAACCCGAAAUGCGGAGCCUGGAGAAGGGGCACCAGGCCCAGGGCAAGAGGGACGGGAAGCCCUGAGGCCAGCGGGCUCAACAGAGAGAAACGGCAGGGAAUCAGGGAAACUCAGGCCGGAUGGCCGUGGCGACCGCGGCCUUGUUCUGUCCUGGAAUGUUGCCCACUCCCUCUGGCUCCCAGCUCACAGGCACCUGCACUCUGGGGCUCGAUUUCAGGGCCAAUUCUCACUGUUUCUGCAGCCCCUGAGUGGAAAACCACUUCCCUGAUGGGGAGUCAGCUCUGCCCUCCCCCCCAGCAGCCGAGAUCACAGGCCCCAAAGCCAUCACCUCUUCUCUUCCUUGGGCUCCUGAAUGAACCCCACGGCUCCCCACGGUGCACCAAUGAGGAAACGUUUCCUUCCCAAAUGAGCUUUGAUGGCUGGUGUACAGUUGCCAUCAUGUUAUUUGGGAAAAUCGCUGCGGGGCCUCCCAGCCCUCACGCCCUGCCCUGGGGCACCGCUGGUGGGGUUUGAGGACAGCAGGAGCCUGAAGCUGGAUUGGUGAGUGUGCAGCACAUGCUCGGUUUGCCCCUCCCGGCCCUCGGACCACCUCUCUCCGUCCUGCUCUGGGCCCUGGGAGGCUGACGCCAGGGACCGGUCAUCGGGGUCCCUCGACUCCGGCUUUGGGAGGAGAGUGCAGGGGAGACGGUUAUUCCCCUGGCUUCCUUCCUGCAAAUGAGGACGAGGAUAAGGUGGCUGCGCUCUGUCAUAAAGGCCACAGCCCCUGCCAGGAGGCCUGUCCUUGCAGCUCCCCUGGUGCAAGCGUCCAUACCUGCCUCUCCCACCUGUUCAGGCCGAGGGCUGUAAGGGGUCCUUCUGUUGCUAGCCGCGGUGUGUUCACUGCCUGUUGUAAGUUUCCCUUAGCCCCGCCCACAGCUCUGUAAUUAGUCCUUCACUAAAUGCCCUUCCUUCAUCCCAUCGGAGCGAGCGUCCCCUCUGCUUCCUGCUGGGACCCCAGGAAGCCGCAUCGUCUGACCUCUGGGCUGAUGUGCCACGAGGCCCAUCCAGCACCCUGGGGACCAUCCAGAAGGAGAUCCCAGCACCCUGGGGACCAUGAGGGGGAGGGCAGGGGAGUGAAGAGGCAGAGCCCGCGCCGAUUAACCUCAGGCAAGUUCAUGUGGGAAGUGGGGAGGGAAUGGCGUGUUUCUCCAGGAGCUGCUUCCGCACAGUCCCGAGGUGGCCAGGUAGCAAAUCUGCCCUCAGAGCCUCAGGGACCAUCUGACUGCCCCGGGCCGGCAAACAAGGGGAGGUCCUGUGUCAGGGCUGGCUUUCACCAGCAGCCGCCCCAGAUGGCUGUGCAGGCCACGCACCAUGCAACUCACAGAGUGUAAUGUAUACGCUAGUCUAUGCAAAUGACAUCCCUUGAGUUGUGCAGUGUGCAACCUGCACAACCAUCUGUGGCGGCCCUAUGGACUAUCAUUUGCUGGGUUCAGUGGUGGCCCGCAGAAAGCAGAGAGUACAGGCGUGAGGAAGGGGAAAAGGGGAGGGAGGAGGGAUGGGAGGCAGAUCUGGCUACAUUAUUCCAGGUUCCGGGCCUGAGGCUGCCCCAGGCUGCAGGGGAACCGCACGCUGUUCUAUUUCACUAGAUGACUCAGAACCAAAAUCCUUUCUCUUAGAAAAGAACGGUCCAUAAGCAGGUGCAGAGUGAAGCGUGCUCCCUCUGAGCACACUCGUAUCGAUUCUUCUUAAAUGAAGCUGGCCUGAGCCCCUAGGGGAGCCGCUGGGAGCAGCUCUGCCUGCGUCUUGGCUAAUGCAAAAGGGGAAAAUGACUUCAAAACGGUGCUGUUUUUUCCAUUUCCAGGUUCCUCCCCAGGCUGAGGCUCCAUCCUUUCUCCCAGGGAGGUGCCCACGGACGAGAUCUGGAUUUAGGGUGUGGGACGGGGUUUGUCCUUUGAGUUCCGGGUUCCAGUCCGGGGGCCAGCCCCACUUCAGGACCUGGGCAGGGGCAGCUCAUGGGCUCUACCAGUCUGUGCCAAAGACACUCAGGGCCACAUACCCGAGGCUGGUCCCACCACUGUCCUCACGUUCUCCCACAGGCUGCCUGGCACCCAAUGGCUGUUUCAGCGCGUGACUUAAUCUGAUUUUUCAAGACUAGAAUGCUGGGUGGGGGUGGGGAGGGGUGGGCAGGUCCAGGGCUGGCCAGGUCGUGUGCCUGGCACAGCCCCCAGGAUGCCGGGCCCGGGCAAGCCUACGUCCUGACCUCUGGACCGGACACAGCAAUCAGUUCCUCUGAAGACAGCGGCCCUGGGGAGCAGGGAUUCCCCCACCCUGCUCCAUCUUCCCGAGCCGCACCCGGGCAUGGUCCUAUCAGCCAGGCAACUCCGCCGGGACACCCAGCACGUCACAGCAACCUUGAACGACACUCCAUCCUCCGAACUAACGAUUCGGAAUCAGAAAGGGAGUGAGGGCAGCACCCAGGGACCAGCCCCCUCCGCCCCCACGGGGCCCACCUUCCUCCCCCGCAGCUGGCUGCCCACCACCGGCCCCCGCUCCACCCACAGAGGAAGCGAAGGCCCCUUGGCACUCACGCAGGAGACUCGCUGGCCGGGUGUGCCUGGCUCUGGGCGUGGAGGGCGCAGAAGGGCCGCUCCGAUGGGUGUGGGGCGCAGAGAAGGACCGCCCAGCGGGGGACGCGCCCCAGGCUGACCGCGUCAUUACGGUCCACGUCUGGACACCCGCGAGAGGGAGGGGCACCAGGACACAGGGACAAGAAGCCUCAAGCAGAGCAUCCUGGGCCAGCAGGGCCCAAGGGGACUGCGGAGCCAAGGCUUGAAAGGCCGAAUCUGCGCAUGGUCGGCAACGUGACUGUAAUCCCCUCACUCGGUGUGACAGAAGGAAGAGAGACUCCCGGAAAGGCCCAGACCCUCUCCUGCCUGGUCUCCCUCCCCACUCGGAGAAGUAGCCUUCGCAGGACACCCUGAGUAGUUUAGUGACGGCAGGAGGACCGCCCAGCCCUCCCUUCUGGAAUCUUCCGCCAGCUCUCCCAGCGCCUGCUCCCCUGCAGUGUGGGCGUGCGCAGUGCAGAGCGGACGCAGGUCGGGGGACACAGGGUGCCGGGCUCUGUCCUGCCAGCCCCCCGCACGCCCAGGCCGGGCUGCUGGCCCUACAAGGAGCUCGUCCUGGCCCCCACACGGGCCCGCCUGCUUUCAGCUGGAGGCCGUUCUCGUUUUGCAGCUGCUGCUGAGCGGCUCGCUGACCCUCCCACGUCCCGGCCAGACCUCCUGGUCGGGCGCACGGUGCAGGCAGCAGGGCCCACGCCAGGCCAGCCUCCGUUCCCGUCCUUUCCAUGGAGAAGGGCCUCGACGAGCUUGGGGGCACCUUCAGUGCCUCCCGUUUACCAGUCAGCUGCCCCCCAGCCUCCCCUCAGCUGGGCCCAUGAGCUGCUGCCUUCAGAGAGCUCAGGGGCUGGUCUCCAGGCCACUGCUGCGCAGGCUGGGUUUGGUCAGGGACAGUGGGGGACAGUCUGAGGGUGUCAGAGGCGGCGCCUUGAGUGGGGUACGCUUCCACAGUGUCGUCUGAGCCGGGUCAAGCGUGAGCGUUUUAGCUACCUGCCUCAGUCUCCUGCUCUGGAGAAUGGGGACAGCCACAGGCCUCGUCUAGGGACCUCAGGAGAGUCACGGGAGGCGACCCUGAAAGGCACUUCAAUGAUUCUUGGCCUGCGCUGACGGCUCAGGGGAGAUUUGCUGCUUUGGGACCCAGACGUCACCCACCCUUUGCUCCGUGGCUCUUACUCUGUGGUGGAGCGAGAGGAAGGAGCCCCAGGGCAGGCUGGCGUCAGGACAGCCAGCGCGGGCCGCACCCCAGCUUCAGGAGGUGCGUGGGAUGCCGAGCAAGCGUCUUCCGGGCGUGGGUGGGCGAGGUGGUGCCCUCCGCCCUCCUUCCCUCUCCCCCUGCACACUUUGGGGGCUACUUCAUGGGCCUAAACAAAGUCACCAAGUCCCCCACGCUUGUGGGAACAGUCAGACUUUAAGAGGCUGAACAAGAAGUAAAUAAUCUCUCUGCAGAGUUGGUCUCCAGGGGUCAACGGUCGGCUGUGCGUCUUCCCACGUGUGCACGUGUUUUUUAAAAAUUAAUCUUUUUACUUGGAGGUAACUGUAGACUCACACGCAGUUGUGAGAAGCACUGCAGGGAGACCCCAGGUACCUUUCACCCGGUUUCCCCAGUGAGAACAUCCCAACCAGGAUCCUGACAUUGCUGCAGUCAGGAACAUUCUGCCACCUGGAGGACCCCUCGUGUUGCCCUUUUAUAGCCACACCCACCUCGUCCCGGUCCCCAGGCUCUGACCCCGACGCAGGGCAACCACUAAGGUGAUCUCCUUUUGCACAGUUUUGUCAUUUCCAGAAGGUUCUAUAAAUGGAAUCUUACGGCGUGUGACCUGUCGGGCCUGGCUCUCUCACUCAGCGUAAUUCUCUCGAGAUUCACCGAGUUGUGGUAUCGAUAGUUUGCUCCUUUUGGCUGCUGAGCGAUGUUCCACGGCACGGAUGUACUACAGCUCAUGACAGCUGGAUUUGCGCCCAGCGAUUGCACCUGUGGUUUCCAGCUAUUUCCAAUAACGCUGCUAUGAACAGGUUUGGGGAUGAACCUAACUCUUCAUUUCUCUGGGCUAAAUGCCCGGGAGAGUAAUUGCUGGGUGACGUGACAGCUGCGUGUUUGUUAUAAGGGACAGCCAAGCUGGUUUCCAGGAUGGUUAUAUCCCUUAUUUUGCAAAAGGAAUAAUACAAUACACUUUACUCUGCAAACUGCUUUUUUCAUGUAAUAAUGUAUACACACUUCUCUAGGCCAAUACCUAUAGAUUUUAAAAACUUGUUUGUUUUUAAUAACAAAAAUAAUAAGUUGAUACUACUCCAAAAGUUGCUGACAGUCUUCGAAGGCAAUAGCACAGGGACUAGGGCAGUAAAGCUUUUGCUGCACCACUGAUGAUGCUAAAACUAUGCUUCGCCAGGAAACCACAUAUUUACAUAUUCGAUUGGAAAAGAAAGCAGGUUUUGAAACUAGCUUGCAUGUAGACACGUUAGUUCCAAAUGCCCUUCCAAUGUAUUUUGCGAACCUCCACUCUGCAUUUAGGGUGAUAGUUUCUAUUUGAUAGAAACUGUAAAUAGGGAUCACACUGCCCAACAUAUUAACAGAUUUUCUGACACAUUCUUUUCAGUGGCUGCGUGACAAUGCGCAGUUAUGGUUCAUCAGUCCAACUAUACGAUAGGAAGAGACAUUUCCCUUUCUUGGGGCCGUGUGUACACAUGACGGAUCCCACCGCAGGGCGUUCUGCUCCGAGCGUGCUGACAGCGUGCUCUCCCGCGUCCCCCCCGCCCCUCC